AAACUAGAUGAACUCCGAGCAUUUUCGCCUAAGUCUUUGGAUAAGGGGAAAAUUGCCGACAGCUGAUAUGCGCGCUGUAAGGGUCAGGAAAGAAAUGCCCUGGCCUCCCGUAUUUGGAAAGGUGUUUAUGUUGCCACUUG
rnacentral:ncRNA from 2 species